rnacentral:sRNA from 1 species
UCGUUCCUGAGGAAGAAAAACAUGAGGAAAGAGUUCCUAGAGAGAGAAGACAAAGACAGUCUGUGUUGCAAAAGAAGCCCAAGGCUGAAGAUUUAAGAACUGAAUGUGCAACUUGCAAGGGAACUGGAGACAAUGAAAAUCUUGUCAGACAUAAUGCUAAUCAGAAAUCUUAGCCGAUGCUGCGCAUUGGCUUUUCCCAAUGGUCCAGAGGCUGCUAAUUUUAGCGGAAAUGAAGAAAUUGAUCAAAGCCUGGGUGAGAUGAGGGAGUGAGUGGGUGAACAAAAAGAGCUAAUUUAAAAGAGGCAUUAGACUUUCAAAGGACAGUGUCACAAAAGUUCUUACAGUUCUUACAGGGACUUUGUAAGGGAAUCCAUUCUUAUUUCUUUAAAAAAUUGUCUUCUGGUAAAGCCCUGUUAAAUUAACUGAGGACACAGAAAUUAAAUAUUUCAAAAAGAAUAAACAUAUUGAU